rnacentral:rRNA from 1 species
GUCGGGGCGACCCGGUCAACGGCAGUCGAUACUUGUCGGCCUGCCGCUCGGAGUAAUCGAGGUGAACCUGCGGAAGGAUCAUUG